UGUACAAUUGAAAAAUUUGAACGACAGCUCAAUGUACUAGAGAUGCCAGUUUUCAAAAACCUCGAUGCAUCGAUAUAUCGACUAUUUAUACAUCGAGAGGAAAAUUUUCGAUGCAUCGAAGCAAAACAUCGAUAUUUUCGAUGUUUUUCCGACAUCCCUAGCAUACACGGAUCGUAUAUCAACUGAUUCCGCUGGUUCAGCUGUGAUUCUAUUUUAAAAUUCGCAGAGAAUCUUUUCCAAACUCAAAA